AUUGAACGCUGGCGGCAGGCCUAACACAUGCAAGUCGAGCGGAUGAAGGGAGCUUGCUCCUGGAUUCAGCGGCGGACGGGUGAGUAAUGCCUAGGAAUCUGCCUGGUAGUGGGGGAUAACGUCCGGAAACGGGCGCUAAUACCGCAUACGUCCUGAGGGAGGAAGUGGGGGAUCUUCGGACCUCACGCUAUCAGAUGAGCCUAGGUCGGAUUAGCUAGUUGGUGGGGUAAAGGCCUACCAAGGCGACGAUCCGUAACUGGUCUGAGAGGAUGAUCGGUCACACUGGAACUGAGACACGGUCCAGACUCCUACGGGAGGCAGCAGUGGGGAAUAUUGGACAAUGGGCGAAAGCCUGAUCCAGCCAUGCCGCGUGUGUGAAGAAGGUCUUCGGAUUGUAAAGCACUUUAAGUUGGGAGGAAGGGCAGUAAGUUAAUACCUUGCUGUUUUGACGUUACCAACAGAAUAAGCACCGGCUAACUUCGUG
rnacentral:rRNA from 1 species